AUGGUGAGAUGCGUGCUCAGGCCCAGAUCUAUUCCUGGUUGGGUUUUGGUUUUGUUUUCUGUUCUUGGGCUUAUGACCACCCUUGCACCAAACAAUAGAGCUCAACACACACAAACAAUUUACAAUCGGCUUUUUGGUAUUUUAUGCACAAACUUUUGGUAUUCACCAAAGCAAACACUUGAUGAAUGUGCAUAUAUUAGUUCAAUAUACCAAAAUCUAUGACUAUUUUUUAUUUUGCAUGUCUAUUCGUGUAUUUGUCGGGACAAUGCUAUUAACUGA
rnacentral:lncRNA from 1 species